rnacentral:rRNA from 1 species
UACGUUCCCGGGCCUUGUACACACCGCCCGUCACACCACGAAAGUCGGCAACACCCGAAGCCGGUGGCCUAACCCGCAAGGGAGGGAGCCGUCGAAGGUGGGGCCGGUGAUUGGGGUG